GUGAAGAGUGGACCCGCAGGGCAACCGUCUAAACUUUCCAUUGGAACACUUAAGAACCAUGAUGUCUCUUUUUUGAAGCAGGGAUUUGAAAACACAACAUCACAGACGAGUGCGUGGACAUGAAGCCGUCCCUGCUUUCAGUGCUAGGGGUGUGAGGGGCUCACAGAAGCUGGAACACUGACGACUAGCUCAGAGGGGUGGCCUAUCCCACAAGCCCUCCGACAGGUGCCAGACUGUGGUCAGGGCCUCCGUGCCCUGCGAAGUCCAGGCCAGCAGAGACACGAGGACCAGAUAAGGACACAACUAAUGAGCUAGGACUUGGUCCAAGAACCACAAUCUUUGUGCAUCAUAAUCCAACCGUGACCGUGGGAUCAGAUCUGCCUGCGUUACAGGGCCCGGCCCUCGGUAACCAUACUUCGAAGAAGCAAAUAACCAAGGGAAGACAUACAUGGAAGGGAUAAGAUGGAAAUAAAGUUGACUGAGGACCUUCA